AGCCCACCCCUUCCAUCUGCCUGAGCCAAUCAGAGACUAGGAACUCGAGUUGCUCAUUUACGGCGGAGCGUCCGCGAGCCUCCGAGACUGGAGGAACGGAAGUGGCCGUUCGCAGCUCCUACGAAGUUGGACAGAGGAAAACAGUUCUAGAGAUGGAUGGUGGAGGAUGGAUGUACAUUAAUGCCACUGAGAUGCACACUUAAAGGACUUAGGCCCUGCGACCUCUACCUGAGCUUUCUCAGCCAGCAGACGUCCAGCCGGCAGAAAUGCAAAUGGCCAGGACUCAUAUGGAAAAAUGUUCAAAUUGACGGCCUAGUAACAAGGAAACAUAUCCGGAGCCAACCCUGAAAUACUACUUUCACAGAACUGAUGGCAGAGAGAGAAGAUGACACAACCCUUCCGUAUUGCCCCGUGGGGUCCACCCCCCCAGACAUCAUACCUGCCCCGACCACAGGCACUAGAAGUUUCGUUUUUCUAUGCCACUAGUUCUUAAAGGUCGGCUCCAGGCCUGGGUGAGGGCUGCUCCCUGCCACACAUCGUCAACCUUGCAGAGUCUGUCAAGCACCCACUCUGCUCUAGCAAGGGGAAGCCUCCGAAAAACGUUCAAGACAUGGGCCCUACCUUCUAGGUAGGUAAUCUGGUUGGCACAGAAAGCUUAUGCCCGCUGGACAGAACUUGGAGAAAGACUUAGGCUGACCCUCACUUUGCUGCUCUCUUAGUAGCUAAAUGACUAUGGGGAAAUCACUUCGGCUCUCGCCUCUCCAUCUUCCCAUAUUCUAAAUGGGAAUCACGAAAACGAGCUCCCAGUGUUAUGGUGGCAUUCAGCCUAGCUGAAGUGGCUCAAGCGCCAGGCACAGCGCUUGGCCCAUAGUAAGUGCUCACUGAACACCAUUUCUUUCCCGGCGACGACGCGUGAUUGCGGUGAUAACCAGUUCCCUGUGGAGUUUCGAGCAUUGGUUCUGCCGGUGGAUCUACUCAAAAGGCCUUGAUGACAGCUGGGGCCCGAUCGCCUGGAUGGUGAUGGGGAGAAUACAGGGCACGGGAGGCGGAGGAAGGAGUGCGCACGCAUUCACUCGAACAAGCCAGUCCCUCCAUCGUCCUGCUCCUCUGCAAUUGGCAGAAGCAGAAAAUUCUUUAUUUUCUAUCUGUCUCAUGUCCGUGAUGGCAAAGACCCUGCCCUGUAACAGGAGUGUUUUUGUAUCUCUAAUAAGAAUCCAAAGUUGAAUCAGAA